CUUGCUCCCGGAUGUUAGCGGCGGACGGGUGAGUAACACGUGGGUAACCUGCCUGUAAGACUGGGAUAACUCCGGGAAACCGGAGCUAAUACCGGAUAGUUCCUUGAACCGCAUGGUUCAAGGAUGAAAGACGGUUUCGGCUGUCACUUACAGAUGGACCCGCGGCGCAUUAGCUAGUUGGUGGGGUAAUGGCUCACCAAGGCGACGAUGCGUAGCCGACCUGAGAGGGUGAUCGGCCACACUGGGACUGAGACACGGCCCAGACUCCUACGGGAGGCAGCAGUAGGGAAUCUUCCGCAAUGGACGAAAGUCUGACGGAGCAACGCCGCGUGAGUGAUGAAGGUUUUCGGAUCGUAAAGCUCUGUUGUUAGGGAAGAACAAGUGCGAGAGUAACUGCUCGCACCUUGACGGUACCUAACCAGAAAGCCACGGCUAACUACGUGCCAGCAGCCGCGGUAAUACGUAGGUGGCAAGCGUUGUCCGGAAUUAUUGGGCGUAAAGGGCUCGCAGGCGGUUUCUUAAGUCUGAUGUGAAAGCCCCCGGCUCAACCGGGGAGGGUCAUUGGAAACUGGGAAACUUGAGUGCAGAAGAGGAGAGUGGAAUUCCACGUGUAGCGGUGAAAUGCGUAGAGAUGUGGAGGAACACCAGUGGCGAAGGCGACUCUCUGGUCUGUAACUGACGCUGAGGAGCGAAAGCGUGGGGAGCGAACAGGAUUAGAUACCCUGGUAGUCCACGCCGUAAACGAUGAGUGCUAAGUGUUAGGGGGGUUUCCGCCCCUUAGUGCUGCAGCUAACGCAUUAAGCACUCCGCCUGGGGAGUACGGUCGCAAGACUGAAACUCAAAGGAAUUGACGGGGGGCCCGC
rnacentral:rRNA from 1 species